CACGUAGGGUGCAAGCGUUGUCCGGAAUUAUUGGGCGUAAAGGGCUCGUAGGCGGUCCGUCACGUCGGGAGUGAAAACUCGGGGCUCAACCCCGAGCCUGCUUUCGAUACGGGCGGACUAGAGGUAGGUAGGGGAGAACGGAAUUCCUGGUGUAGCGGUGAAAUGCGCAGAUAUCAGGAGGAACACCGGUGGCGAAGGCGGGUCUCUGGGCCGAUACUGACGCUGAGGUGCGAAAGCGUGGGGGAGCAAACAGG
rnacentral:rRNA from 1 species